ensembl:lncRNA
CUUUUAGAAGGAGCUGUCAGCACUGGAGCAGGGAUAGACUUUCUUCAGAGUGGGACAGAUGCAGAGACUGAGGAGAAACACACUGUGUUGCAUGGAAUUAGCAGGACAGAAGAGAAAGCACCAUCCACUGACCUGCAGGCUGCUGACAUGUUGCCAUGCUAAUGCUUGCAGGAUUGUAACAACCCCACAAGACAUCCUGGCAAUGCAUCCCACCACUACAGCCUGCUUGCCUUGCUCAGCAGAACAAACUGAUGGACAGUAACCACUUCUUGGAUGGCUCACUCCAGGCCAAGUCAGCUAAGCUCCACGCUGGCAUAGCUUGUCAUUUCCAGCAGACGAGAUCAUGUGAACUGCUGCUCAUUUCCACUGGUCUCUUCGCUAUGGCUAGAUUUCCCCUUCAUUAAUUAUGCUGAAUUAAAAGCAAGUGGCCAUAGUGAAGUAACCAGGAUCUAUCAAGUAUCAGCCAAGUACAAGCAGGAAUCCUGAUUUCACAACCUCAUCUUAUGCAAGACACGGAAAGAAAAAAUCUGAGGAAAUUUGUUUCAAGUUAUGCUCACAUGCAAUAAAUCAUGGUGAAAACACCAUAAGG